rnacentral:rRNA from 1 species
CAGCCACUGUUUAUUAGAAUAUCGUUAUCCUACUUGGAUAACUGUGGCAAUUCUAGAGCUAAUACAUGCAAAAAAGCUCUGCCCGCAAGGAACGAGCGCAUUUAUUAGAAUAAAAACCAAUCGGGCCCUCGGCCCGUAAUUUGGUGAAUCUGAAUAACUUUGCCAAUCGCACAGUCCUAGUACUGGCGAUGUAUCUUUCAAGUGUCUGCCUUAUCAACUUUCGAUGGUAGGAUAUACGCCUACCAUGGUAGUAACGGGUAACGGAGAAUAAGGGUUCGACUCCGGAGAGGGAGCCUGAGAAACGGCUACCACAUCCAAGGAAGGCAGCAGGCGCGCAAAUUACCCACUUCCAGAACGGAGAGGUAGUGACGAAAAAUAACGAGACAGUCCUCUUCGAGGUCUGUCAUCGGAAUGGGUACAAUUUAAAUCCUUUAACGAGGAUCUAUUGGAGGGCAAGUCUGGUGCCAGCAGCCGCGGUAAUUCCAGCUCCAAUAGCGUAUAUUAAAGUUGUUGCGGUUAAAACGCUCGUAGUUGGAUCUGCGGCCGCGGAGGAUGGUCCCCCGAAAGGGCGGUCACUAUCACUCCUAGCCUAAAUUCGAGUCGUCUCUAGGUGCUCUUUACUGAGUGCCUAGAGUGACUAGAACGUUUACUUUGAAAAAAUUAGAGUGCUUAAAGCAGGCGAAAUAGCCUGAAUAAGGUGCAUGGAAUAAUGGAAUAGGACCUCGGUUCUAUUUUGUUGGUUUUCGGAGCCUGAGGUAAUGAUUAAGAGGAACAGACGGGGGCAUUCGUAUUCCGGCGCUAGAGGGAAAUC